rnacentral:rRNA from 1 species
CAACUUUCAGCAGUGGAUGUCUAGGCUCGCACAUCGAUGAAGAACGCCGCGAACUGCGAUACGUAAUGCGAAUUGCAGGAUUCAGUGAGUCAUCGAAAUUUUGAACGCAUAUUGCACUUUCGGGUUAUGCCUGGAAGUAUGCCUGUAUCAGUGUCCGUA